rnacentral:lncRNA from 1 species
CCUCUUCUCCCUCCAAGAUCUGCCGCCGCCGCCUGCUCUAACCUCGGCGAGAAUCGCCGGCUCCGACGCCUCCCUCACUCAUCGUUCGGCUGGCGCGCCGCCUCGCCGUCGCCUCCGCUCUCUCUCUCACGACUGCCGGAACAAGAUACAGCAGACGCACGCCGCUGUCAAAGCGGUGCGCCGCCGCUGCCGCCUCCGUCGUCCUUGCAGCAGAUCCGCUGCCGCGUCAAGACCACGGCCACCGCUUGGGUCGUCGGGAGCCGCUGGAGCUGCUGCUGCUUCGCCGGGAGUCGACGGAUCUGGCCUUCAGCCGUUCGUCUCGCUCGGAGCUCCCGCCGCGUUGGCUUGCACGGAGUCGCCGCCGACUGCAGCUGCUUCGCCGGGAGUCGACGGAUCUGGAGUUGCUGCAGGCUCGUCCGGUGGUCAGUGGCUCGCUGGAGGAGCGCCGCCGCCGGCCGCUGCUGUUGGCAGCAAGAGCCCGGCAGCCACCUCUCCCGGAGCCGCCGUCGCCGUGAGUCGCAGAGCUCCGACAAUCC